rnacentral:rRNA from 1 species
UUUGCUGACUGAGCGGCGGACGGGUGAGUAAUGCCUAGGGAUCUGCCCAGUCGAGGGGGAUAACAGUUGGAAACGACUGCUAAUACCGCAUACGCCCUACGGGGGAAAGGAGGGGACCUUCGGGCCUUUCGCGAUUGGAUGAACCUAGGUGGGAUUAGCUAGUUGGUAAGGUAAUGGCUUACCAAGGCGACGAUCCCUAGCUGUUCUGAGAGGAUGAUCAGCCACACUGGGACUGAGACACGGCCCANACUCCUACGGGAGGCAGCAGUGGGGAAUAUUGCACAAUGGGGGAAACCCUGAUGCAGCCAUGCCGCGUGUGUGAAGAAGGCCUUCGGGGUUGUANAGCACUUUCAGUAGGGAGGAAAGGUAGCANCUUAAUACGUUGUUACUGUGACGUUACCUACAGAAGAAGGACCGGCUAACUUCUUGCCAGCAGCCGCGNUAAUACGAGGGGGUCCCAGCGUUAAUCGGA